AAACUGCUGGGAUAGUGGGAAGAAGCUGGUAGCUGCUACCAGGAAGAAAAUCACAUGCAAAGACAGAAAAACAGAUCUAAGCUGGAACCAGUAGCAUGAGAAGUAGUUUUGUUGGAGCUGUGACUGAAAGCUGAAACAUUUUAGUCUCCUAAGAACCUUUGAUAGAUCAUAGUACAUAAUCUCAUAGGAACCUGCAGGAACUGGAUAACGCUUUGGACUGGAUAACAACGAUUUCUAACCUGAAUGACUUGAAGAUGGAAAUGGGCUUUCACAUACAACUCUUACAGUGUUUUCCUGUAUGUUGUUUAAAAUGGAUUUUCAUUUUAUCACCGAUGGCAGAAAAUUACCCAGCUCAUAACUAGGAUGGAAUAAACCUACCUAAUCCAGCUCCACGUUGCAUGGCUGGUCAUAAUCCUGUCUGCAAUUCUUCAUGAGCAGCAACUUUCAGUGAGGUUGAAGAGUAAUGUAAAUAUCUAGAGUUUCAGAAGCCAGGGCUGUACUGUGGAACACAUUCCAUCUAGAUUAUCCCUGACUUGCAUUGAAGGAGAAUCAAUGACAGUUUUUUCAAGAAAAAACAAUUUCCCACAAUUUUUCAGAGACUUGCAGGAACUACUUUUGGAAAACAGCAAUCAAGGUAUUCAGUCUUCAUCCUCUUAUUUGCAGAGAUAGUUUCCUUACUAUGUCAUAUCUAUAUGAAAUUACUAUAUGGGGCUUUCACAAUUGUUCUGCUCCUGGAAAGGUCACACUGGGCUGGCUUGCAUAGCAUGAGGAACAAACUUCAAGGGAUUCACUGAAGGACUUUCACUUGAAAAAAUUUUGCAAGUAUUAUCACAUUGGGGAUGGCCUUCUCUAAGGAACAGGAUCUGAGGUUUUAAGGCGGGAGGUGCCAGUGUUCUGGGGCAAAACUAUGAGAGAGGAAACGUCUGACUCUGACACUCUUAUGGCAUGGACCACACUGGAACAGCUGGGGCUUCUUAUUUUGCUGGCUGAACUGAUGCCUAAAGAGGCUGACCUGGAACAGAGGCUAGACAGAGUUAAAGGAACAAAGCAGGUAUUUGUUAAAAGACCUUUAAAGGAUGCACCUGGAGCAGUUCAAGAGCCCAGCCAUGGCUCCACCCAAGAUGGACCCAAGAUGGACCCAAGAUGGACAACUGGUCAUGAGUUUUCAAACGUUUUAAAGUUUUGGGCCAUUUACAUAUUGGGCUUAAUUGUCCAAUUCCUGCUUCAGGUUAUGAAGUCCCAUCCUCCCAGACUGCUCUCAUCAAUUUGCUGUUGUUUAUACCUUUUGGGCCUGAGGCUGCAAUGGUGUCCUUGGUUCCCAAGCUGGAAAAGGAUUGUUUGGUCUAACUGAACUGUGAAGAGAACGUGCUAACACUUUGUAUGAAGUUCAGAGUCACACACUAAGGCAGUACAGAAUCGAAAAAAUAUGAAAGCUAAAGAUUAAGGUAUCAUUUCCCCCCUUUUGAGGCCUUUACCUUGUCAAGUCUCUAUUCUAAAUAUCUACUAAAAAUAGAUAUUUAAUAACAGAUAAGUAACAAUAGUAAAUCACUAACAGUAAUAAUAAACAUCUAACAACAGUAAAUAUCUAACAACAGAUAAAUAUCUAAUAGUAAACAAAUAUAUUUGUCUCAGGUCAAAGUUCCUUGGUACUUUUUCACCUCUCCUGUUGCAUAUGUCCUAGAAAAAUUGUGUCAGGGUCCUAAGUGCAUUAAUGGGCCUUAGCUGCUCUCAUCAAAUUCCCUUAGGGCCUCCACCCACAAGUUCUGCUCAGAGGCUCUGUCCCUUCUGUGAGGAAAAUUAGCCUCAAAAUUAGAUCAAGCAAAACAGUGUUAGUUUGAUCAGCCUGUGUACAUGGAUUUGCUCUUACUCUUCAUUCUUGCACAUCCAAAAAAUCUUGGCUAAAAUCAGAUUUCUACCUGCACAUACUGAUUUUUACACAUGUGGGACGGCACACUGCUGCUAAGGCAUGGCUUGCUAUUGCUAACCCCUUCCCCAAGGAAUGGAACUAUCCUGACAGGAGAUAGUGGGACUUACAGUCCCUGAAUGUCAACUACAGGGGGAGGAAGGGAGAGAGGGAAGGAGACUUGGGUGUUGCUGCUCUCUGCUUCCCUGUGCACAGAACAUAUUUCUGCAUGGAUUUCCAGCAGCAGUCAUUGGUGAUCGCAUCAGCAGUAAUGUCCCUUGAUGCUUACAAUCCUUCUUAAGGAGUCCAGGGAUGGUAGCACUGCAUGGAAAUGGAGCUGAAAACAGGAGAGAAUACCAGUGACAGGAGACUUGAGAGCAGAAGAGCUGCUCUGUGUGCAGAGAAGUUCUAUGUAGCCUAGCACUUUUUGCCUGAUGAGCCAGCAGCAGAUCCUGCAGAAGAACUAAGGAACUGGGCAUUUCUGGAGUGACUCCUCCCUUGUUACAUCCUUCCUUCCUAUCUCCAGCAGUCCCUGGGAUAGACACUUACUGGUUAAGAAUCCAAGUCUUUCUGUCUGAAGACUCCCAAUGGACAUGACCAUCAUUCCUAUGCUUUGGAGCAACCUAAUUUCAGCCUUCCAGUACCUGAAGGAAGCCUACAAGAAAGAUGGAGAGGGACCUAUUACAUGAGCAUGUAGUGAUAGG